rnacentral:rRNA from 1 species
UUGAAGUUCAGGUAACACUGAAUGGAGGACCGAACCGACUUACGUUGAAAAGUGAGCGGAUGAACUGAGGGUAGCGGAGAAAUUCCAAUCGAACCUGGAGAUAGCUGGUUCUCUCCGAAAUAGCUUUAGGGCUAGCCUCAAGUGAUGAUUAUUGGAGGUAGAGCACUGUUUGGACGAGGGGCCCCUCUCGGGUUACCGAAUUCAGACAAACUCCGAAUGCCAAUUAAUUUAACUUGGGAGUCAGAACAUGGGUGAUAAGGUCCGUGUUCGAAAGGGAAACAGCCCAGACCACCAGCUAAGGUCCCAAAAUAUAUGUUAAGUGGAAAAGGAUGUGGCGUUGCCCAGACAACUAGGAUGUUGGCUUAGAAGCAGCCAUCAUUUAAAGAGUGCGUAAUAGCUCACUAGUCGAGUGACACUGCGCCGAAAAUGUACCGGGGCUAAACAUAUUACCGAAGCUGUGGAUUGUCCUUUGGACAAUGGUAGGAGAGCGUUCUAAGGGCGUUGAAGCAUGAUCGUAAGGACAUGUGGAGCGCUUAGAAGUGAGAAUGCCGGUGUGAGUAGCGAAAGACGGGUGAGAAUCCCGUCCACCGAUUGACUAAGGUUUCCAGAGGAAGGCUCGUCCGCUCUGGGUUAGUCGGGUCCUAAGCUGAGGCCGACAGGCGUAGGCGAUGGAUAACAGGUUGAUAUUCCUGUACCACCUAUAAUCGUUUUAAUCGAUGGGG